UACGGAGGAUCCAAGCGUUAUCCGGAUUCAUUGGGUUUAAAGGGUGCGUAGGCGGAAUGAUAAGUCAGUGGUGAAAGCCUGCAGCUUAACUGCAGAACUGCCAUUGAUACUGUCAAUCUUGAGUACAUUUGAUGUGGGCGGAAUGUGUCAUGUAGCGGUGAAAUGCUUAGAUAUGACACAGAACACCGAUUGCGAAGGCAGCUCACAAAACUGUAACUGACGCUGAGGCACGAAAGCGUGGGUAUCAAAC
rnacentral:rRNA from 1 species